rnacentral:rRNA from 1 species
GUGCCAGCAGCCGCGGUAAGACAGAGGUCCCGAGCGUUAGGCGGAAUCACUGGGCUUAAAGCGUGUGUAGGCGGACUUCUAAGUACCUUGUGAAAUCCCACGGCUCAACCGUGGAACUGCUUGGUAUACUGGUUGUCUUGGGCCAUCUAGGGGCGAGCGGAACAAACGGUGGAGCGGUGAAAUGCGUAGAUAUCGUUUGGAACGCCAAUGGUGAAAACAGCUCGCUGGGGAUGUGCCGACGCUGAGACACGAAAGCCAGGGGAGCGAACGGGAUUAGAUACCCCGGUAGUCC